rnacentral:rRNA from 1 species
AACGAACGCUGGCGGCAUGCCUAAUACAUGCAAGUCGAACGAGAUCUUCGGAUCUAGUGGCGCACGGGUGCGUAACGCGUGGGAAUCUGCCCUUGGGUUCGGAAUAACGUCGGGAAACUGACGCUAAUACCGGAUGAUGACGUAAGUCCAAAGAUUUAUCGCCCAGGGAUGAGCCCGCGUAGGAUUAGCUAGUUGGUGGGGUAAAGGCCUACCAAGGCGACGAUCCUUAGCUGGUCUGAGAGGAUGAUCAGCCACACUGGGACUGAGACACGGCCCAGACUCCUACGGGAGGCAGCAGUAGGGAAUAUUGGACAAUGGGGGCAACCCUGAUCCAGCAAUGCCGCGUGAGUGAUGAAGGCCUUAGGGUUGUAAAGCUCUUUUACCAGAGAUGAUAAUGACAGUAUCUGGGGAAUAAGCCCCGGCUAACUCCGUGCCAGCCGCCGCCGUAA